rnacentral:snRNA from 1 species
ACCGCUUCUCGACCUUUUAGCUAAGAUCAAGUGUAGUAUCUGUUCCUAUAUGUCUAUCCACUUGUCUAAUACACUUAUUAAUAACUCAUCUUUCUCCAUUGAAGUGAGAUGUCACCUUUGAGUACACUAAAUUUGCACAUGUAACUGAGGCUUUUUCUGGAUCUUUUGUUCCACUGUUU